rnacentral:rRNA from 1 species
GAUGAACGCUGGCGGCAGGACUAACACAUGCAAGUCGAGCGAAGCCUUCGGGCUUAGCGGCGGACGGGUGAGUAACGCGUGGGAACGUGCCCUUUGCUACGGAAUAGCCCCGGGAAACUGGGAGUAAUACCGUAUGUGCCCUUCGGGGGAAAGAUUUAUCGGCAAAGGAUCGGCCCGCGUUGGAUUAGGUAGUUGGUGGGGUAAUGGCCUACCAAGCCGACGAUCCAUAGCUGGUUUGAGAGGAUGAUCAGCCACACUGGGACUGAGACACGGCCCAGACUCCUACGGGAGGCAGCAGUGGGGAAUCUUAGACAAUGGGGGAAACCCUGAUCUAGCCAUGCCGCGUGAUCGAUGAAGGCCUUAGGGUUGUAAAGAUCUUUCAGUGGGGAAGAUAAUGACUGUACCCACAGAAGAAGCCCCGGCUAACUCCGUGCCAGCAGCCGCGGUAAAAC